AGUAGUUUGAUCAUGGCUCAGGAUGAACGCUAGCGGCAGGCUUAACACAUGCAAGUCGAGGGGCAGCGCGGGGUAGCAAUACCCUGGCGGCGACCGGCGCACGGGUGCGUAACAGGUGUGCAAUCUGUCCAUAGUCGGGGAAUAGCCCAGCGAAAGUUGGAUUAAUGCUCCAUGUGAGCGAGUGCCGCAUGACACACGCUUGAAACGUAAGGACUAUGGGUGAGCACGCUUCUGAUUAGAUAGUUGGUGGGGUAACGGCUCACCAAGUCGACGAUCAGUAGGGGUUCUGAGAGGAAGGUCCCCCACAUUGGAACUGAGACACGGUCCAAACUCC
rnacentral:rRNA from 1 species